rnacentral:rRNA from 1 species
UCAGACGAUGCGUCAUGCAUAUCAAUAAGCGGAGGAAAAGAAACUAACAAGGAUUCCCCUAGUAACGGCGAGUGAAGCGGGAAGAGCUCAAAUUUGAAAUCUUAAAGGGUUUCCCUUUACGAAUUGUAGUUUAAAGAAGUGUUUUCUGUUGAGGUUUUGGUAAAAGUUCUUUGGAAUAGGACAUCAUAGAGGGUGAGAAUCCCGUAUUUGACCUUUACUUUCAACUUUGUGAUACACUUUCAAAGAGUCGGAUUGUUUGGGAAUGCAGUCCAAAAUGGGUGGUAAAUUUCAUCUAAAGCUAAAUAUUGGCGAGAGACCGAUAGCGAACAAGUACCGUGAGGGAAAGAUGAAAAGAACUUUGAAAAGAGAGUUAAACAGUACGUGAAAUUGUCAAAAGGGAAGCGUUUGACACCAGUGUUGUUUUUCUGAAAAUCAAUUAAAGAACUGUUUAUGCUAAGUUGUUUAGACUUUAUCAGCUAUCUGUUUAGUUUUAGGCUUUUCUUUAAUGCACUUUUCAGUUAACAAGUCAACAUCAAUUUCUUUUGCUGUAAAAAAGCUUGAGGAAGGUGGCUUGAGAUUCGUCUUAAGUGUUUAUAGCCUCUUGCCUAUGCAGUCGGAGAGAUUGAGGUCUGCAGCGUAGAUCCUUCGGGGCUAAAUGCAUUUGUGCUAAGUUAUAGCAUUUCAUAGACAACUUGUUGACUAUGAUUUGUCUUGUAGCUUACUCGCUUAUGUUAUUUUACCUACGCUUAGGAUGUUGACACACGCGCGUGCUCG